GCCGGUAUCGCUCAGUGGGCAGAGCAGCGCACUCGUGAUGCAAAGGUCGUAGGUUCGAUUCCUAUUUCCGGCACCC
rnacentral:tRNA from 1 species